CGUACCGAUCAGGUUUCUCUAAGAACCUAACUCAACCCUCUUAGACCUUCCUCUGAACUUCUGAUUUUAUUUCUUUAGAAUCCUCAUAAUCUUUGUUAGGAUCAGAUAAAGUUUUGUCUUAAAUCCCAAAAUCUUGUCCUAAAACUAAGAUAGGUUGUAAGAAAGAAGGGAGAGCUACGGAGAGAAAUUAGAAACUUUUUUUGAAUGCAUCGGAUACUCUGCACCC
rnacentral:lncRNA from 1 species